rnacentral:rRNA from 1 species
UACAGAGGGGGCAAGCGUUGUUCGGAAUUACUGGGCGUAAAGGGCGCGUAGGCGGCCUUCUAAGUCGAACGUGAAAUCCCCGGGCUCAACCCGGGAACUGCGUCCGAUACUGGAAGGCUUGAAUCCGGGAGAGGGAUGUGGAAUUCCAGGUGUAGCGGUGAAAUGCGUAGAUAUCUGGAGGAACACCGGUGGCGAAGGCGACAUCCUGGACCGGUAUUGACGCUGGGGCGCGAAAGCGUGGGGAGCAAACAGG